UACGGAGGGUGCAAGCGUUAUCCGGAUUCACUGGGUUUAAAGGGAGCGCAGGCGGAUUGGUAAGUCAGUGGUGAAAGGCUUGAGCUUAACUCGGGAACUGCCAUUGAUACUAUCAGUCUUGAAUAUUGUUGAGGUUUGCGGAAUGGGUCAUGUAGCGGUGAAAUGCAUAGAUAUGACCCGGAACACCUAUUGCGAAGGCAGCAGGCUAAACAAAGAUUGACGCUGAGGCUCGAAAGCGCGGGGAUCAAACAGG
rnacentral:rRNA from 1 species